GACGAACGCUGGCGGCGUGCUUAACACAUGCAAGUCGAACGGAAAGGCCCUGCUUUUGUGGGGUGCUCGAGUGGCGAACGGGUGAGUAACACGUGAGUAACCUGUCCUUGACUUUGGGAUAACUUCAGGAAACUGGGGCUAAUACCGGAUAGGAGCUCCUGAUGCAUGGGGGGGGAUGGAAAGUUUCGGCGGUUGGGGAUGGACUCGAGGCUUAUCAGCUUGUUGGUGGGGUAGUGGCUGACCAAGGCUUUGACGGGUAGCCGACCUGGGAGGUUGACCGGCCUCAUUGGUACUGCGAUACGCCCCAGACUCCUACGUGAGGCAGCAGUGGGGAAUAUUGCACAGUGGGCGGACGCCUGAUGCGGCGGCGCCGCGUGCGGGAUGCCGGCCUUCGGGUUGUAAACCGCUUUCGCCUGUGGCGAAGCGUGAGUGACGGUAAUGGGUAAAGAAGCCCCGGCUAACUACGUG
rnacentral:rRNA from 1 species